CAGAGGUAUCCGAUGACAAAAAAUCCCACAGGGACUUACAAAUCUCUGUCUCAACCUUGAGAGGCUACAGGCAUGGCCUGGAACAACGGAGACCUGUACCUGUUCUCGAUCAUGUCCUAUGUCUGAGUACAUGUACAUUUCUGGAGGCUUCCUUCUGUGAUAACGGCCUAGGCCUGAGAUGCUAAGACAAGGAAAUUGCAUUUGGCAUGGUUUUGCUGCCACCUGCUGCCUCUGUAGGGCAAGAACUCUGAUGAAGUAAAUAAAGGUAGGCAGGAUCAUGUUCUCUGCUAGGUAAAGGUUUUCACAUCUUCACUUCCACGUCAAAUACACUCACCCUUUCAUUUCCUCCCCUGACAGAGUCAGAUCAACCAUUCUGUGUUUACUUCCAGGCACUCAGACGAGGAGGAGGGAAGAAUGGAGGCGUUCCUUGAGCUGGAGGAGCAUGGAAGGCUACAAAACCUACACCUAAAAGCCGUGCAGUCUUUUACACCAGGGUUCUGCACAGGGGAAAUAAUGGCAGGAGAGAGAUUCUAGUUUAAGAAUAACCCAAAAGAUCAGAAAAGUCACAUUUUUCUUGUUUAGUUCCUUCCUCCUCUUCCAAGUUAACCUUAGAUUUGCCCUUGACUAUGAGUAAUGAAGAUGUCACAAGUUUGUCUGGAACAUACUGUAGGGACAGCGUCAAAGGAAUGUGACGAGAGGCUGGGGAGAGAACUCAGGACAUGGACCUAUGACAUUUUAAGGCCACUUUAAAACUGUGGAGCCAAACCCAGAACACUUUUCUAAAUCUUCAAAAGACCAAGAAGUUAUGAAGCACCAGUCUGUAACAGGAUUGAAGAGGAACAUAGCUGACAACCUACAUAAAGAACACCAGUUUGCUAAGCCUCAAAGACAACUAUUAUUUGACUGAACUAUGAACCAAGUGUUUAAGUUAACCACUUUAUAGUGGAGCUGAAGUUACAGAUCACUCUAAUGCCUCCUUAGGACAAUAAGAACAUUAAAAAUGGUCUCUGAACCGUAGCUCCUUGGUUGAAAUCCUAUUGUAAUCUAAAGAAUGUUUGUAAAAGAUGGGGGUUGGGUAUGGCAGUGGAUGCCUAUAAUCCCUAUACUCAGAAAGUAGAAGCAAGGAGAUCAAGAGUUCAAGGUUAGGUAAGUAGCAAGUCUGAGGCCAGCCUGGGCUACUUGAGAUCUUAUCUCCAACAAAACAGAAAGACUGGCAGUUUGGGGAUCUUAACAUCUGAAGUCUGAAAGCACAGCAAAACCAAUUCUUUUCCAUCUCGCUUAUACACCAGUAUCCUUAAAUCCAGGGCACUUACAUGUAAAGCCUGGUGUGAUUCCCAGAAAACAGUCUGUGUUUUCCUUCAGUGUUGGCUGGUCUGCCUUUAACAUCCAUCCCCUCAACCUCAGUGUAUGGGUGUCAGAACCUAAAAUCUGUUUCCUCAUUUCAAUGACUACAUCUUGCAUGGUGUUGUCAUAAUUUACUAUUCAUCUCUCAGUGGAAAUCAAAGAAGUCAAUAAUUAAGCUUGGGGCUUCAGAAAUCUGAACUUUACCAUGGGAAGCUAAAGAACAGAAUGAGGGGAGCUUCAUGUCCAGAAGUAUACUCCUAACUUCUCACUGCUCUGGUCACAUGUCUUAGGUGAGUCUUAAGAGCGGCCAACUGGCUAGCUCAAAUUUACAGAACAUGGUUUGACCUUUGGGAAGCAGAUUUGCCAUUAAAAAGAGCCAACUGGUUGAUCUUUGUGAAGCAGAAACUGAACACCUGCACCUGUUUCACAUGGCCAUCUCUGUCAUCAACACCUGUUUACGAACUCAUUGGGACAUUCACCAUGAACUGGAAACAAACACUGAAGGUUAAGAGCUAACAUACAGGCUUCCAGUUUUUGAUUCAACACAUUUUGAACACAAAACAACUCAGGAGUGACUCUGAGGGUUUUAACUUAAUUUCAAAGGGAAAAGGAAACAUCUUCAAAUUAGACUAACUGUGGAAUUCAAGAAAUAAGCACCAUAUUCUUCCCCUACACAACUGAAAACUCAAUGUGGGCAAAGACCUUUUCUGGUUUGUUUACUGCUGUAUCUUCAACAACUACAGUUAGGAUGAAUAAAUAUUUGUUGAAUGAA